rnacentral:rRNA from 1 species
GAUGAACGCUGGCGGCGUGCCUAAUACAUGCAAGUCGAGCGAAUGGAUUAAGAGCUUGCUCUUAUGAAGUUAGCGGCGGUCGGGUGAGUAACACGUGGGUAACCUGCCCAUAAGACUGGGAUAACUCCGGGAAACCGGGGCUAAUACCGGAUAACAUUUUGAACCGCAUGGUUCGAAAUUGAAAGGCGGCUUCGGCUGUCACUUAUGGAUGGACCCGCGUCGCAUUAGCUAGUUGGUGAGGUAACGGCUCACCAAGGCAACGAUGCGUAGCCGACCGGAGAGGGUGAUCGGCCACACUGGGACGGAGACACGGCCCAGACUCCUACGGGAGGCAGCAGUAGGGAAUCUUCCGCAAUGGACGAAAGUCUGACGGAGCAACGCCGCGUGAGUGAUGAAGGCUUUCGGGUCGUAAAACUCUGUCGUUAGGGAAGAACAAGUGCUAGUUGAAUAAGCUGGCACCUUGACGGUACCUAACCAGAAAGCCACGGCUAACUACGUGCCAGCAGCCGCCGUAA